UGGGGAAUAUUGGACAAUGGGCGCAAGCCUGAUCCAGCAAUGCCGCGUGGGUGAAGAAGGCCUUCGGGUUGUAAAGCACUUUUGUUGGGGAAGAAAAGACACCGGUUAAUACCCGGGGUUUCUGACGGUACCCAAAGAAUAAGCACCGGCUAACUUCGUGCCAGCAGCCGCGGUAAUACGAAGGGUGCUAGCGUUGUUCGGAAUUACUGGGCGUAAAGCGCGCGUAGGCGGCUUUUCAAGUCAGGGGUGAAAUCCCACAGCUCAACUGUGGAACUGCCUCUGAAACUGUAAAGCUUGAGUGUCGGAGGGGAUAGCGGAAUUGCUAAUGUAGAGGUGAAAUUCGUAGAUAUUAGCAGGAACACCGGUGGCGAAGGCGGCUAUCUGGACGACAACUGACGCUGAGGCGCGAAAGCGUGGGGAGCAAA
rnacentral:rRNA from 1 species